rnacentral:rRNA from 2 species
CUGAUGGAGCACGCCGCGUGAGUGAGAAGGGUUUCGGCUCGUAAAACUCUGUUGUUAAAGAAGAACAUAUCUGAGAGUAACUGUUCAGGUAUUGACGGUAUUUAACCAGAAAGCCACGGCUAACUACGUGCCAGCAGCCGCGGUAAUACGUAGGUGGCAAGCGUUGUCCGGAUUUAUUGGGCGUAAAGCGAGCGCAGGCGGUUUUUUAAGUCUGAUGUGAAAGCCUUCGGCUCAACCGAAGAAGUGCAUCGGAAACUGGGAAACUUGAGUGCAGAAGAGGACAGUGGAACUCCAUGUGUAGCGGUGAAAUGCGUAGAUAUAUGGAAGAACACCAGUGGCGAAGGCGGCUGUCUGGUCUGUAACUGACGCUGAGGCUCGAAAGUAUGGGUAGCAAACAGGAUUAGAUACCCUGGUAGUCCAUACCGUAAACGAUGAAUGCUAAGUGUUGGAGGGUUUCCGCCCUUCAGUGCUGCAGCUAACGCAUUAAGCAUUCCGCCUGGGGAGUACGGCCGCAAGGCUGAAACUCAAAGGAAUUGACGGGGGCCCGCACAAGCGGUGGAGCAUGUGGUUUAAUUCGAAGCUACGCGAAGAACCUUACCAGGUCUUGACAUACUAUGCAAAUCUAAGAGAUUAGACGUUCCCUUCGGGGACAUGGAUACAGGUGGUGCAUGGUUGUCGUCAGCUCGUGUCGUGAGAUGUUGGGGUUAAGUCCCGCAACGAGCGCAACCCUUAUUAUCAG